GGCUAUAAGAAAAGAUCAAAUUGGUAUUAUGUUUAGUAAUAUAAAUGAAAUAUAAAAAACUUAUUUUCAAUCCCACUAUAGUAAAAUGAGGACAGUAAUCUUUAUUUUAAAAAUUGGCACUGUAAAUUGUAUAACAAAAUACAUCAAAUUAAAAAUGCAUUUCUAUAUAUCUAUAUCUAUAAAUGCAUUUUGUUAUAUAACUCCUGAUAAAACCUGUUGACUUCCCCCCCCAUUGUUAAAGAAAACAUAUUUUAACAUUUGAAUCUUUGAUUUUGAUUCAACCAUUAAAUCCUACACUAUUUCCUUAUUUUCUCAUCUUUUAGAAGGAUAGAAAAUAGAAAAAUUAAUGAAAAAGACAAUUAUCUUUUCCAUAACUGGUGUUCUUCAAGAUGUGUUGCUCAUGUCCAUUCCAUAUUAAGUGUGUGCGCUCACCACAUACACCGGUGCUGGAAGAUUUUCCCUCAGUGGUAUCCGUAGGGGACUGGCUCUGCCGCCCAAUGGAGCAGCACGCACAAGGGGCCCUGCUGGCUUCUCCCACCCUCAGUUCCUUCUUGCUGGAAACUCCGACAGUGGGGAAGGAGAGCGGGUCAUGGAAUGGACAUGAGCAACACAUCUUGAACACCUGUUAUGGAAAAGGUAACUGUCUUUUCUUCUUUGAGUGCUUGCUUAUGUCCAUUCCAUAUUAGGUGACUCCCAAGCAAUGCCAAUGGAGGCAGGUAGGAGUUCACAGACAUGUAGAUUGCAACAUAGCUCUGCCGAACCCAAUGUCAUCUCUGGCCUGCUGAGCAAGGGCCUAGUGCGCUGUGAACAUGUGAACUGAAGACCAUGUCGCAGCUCUGAAAAUGUCCUGUAUAGGGACAUGCGCCAGGAAGGCCGCCGAGAAUGCCUGAGCUCUGGUUGAGUGGGCCCUCACAAUCAGCGGCGGUGGGACCUGUGCCAGCUCGUAACAGGUCCAGAUGUAGGUGGUGAUCCAGUUGGAAAUCCUCUGCAAGGACACUGGAAGGCCCUUCAUCCUCUCCACUGUCACGAUGAAGAACUGGGUCGACCUGCAGAAGGGCUUGGUAUGCUCCAGAUAAAAUGCGAGGGCACGUCUGAUGUCCAGGGCAUGCAGCCUCCUUUCCUUAUUAGCGGUAUGUGAGCUGGGACAAAACACCAGGAGGAAGAUGUUCUGGUUAACAUGGAAGGAAGACACCACCUUCAGCAGAAAGGCCGGAUGGGGUCACAGUUGAACUUUGUCCUUAUAGAACACUGUGUACGGUGGCUUCAACGUCAGAGCUUUAAGUUCCAACACUCGUCUCGCGGAUGUUAUGGCUACAAGGAAAGCGACAUUCCAUGACAGGUGGGAGAGGGAGCAGGAGCCCAUAGGCUCAAAAGUUGGGCCCAUGAGCUUAGAAAGAACCAAGUUAAGGUCUCACUGUGGGACAGGGACUCAGGCCGGUGGGAGGAGCCUCUCGAGACCUCUCAGGAAUCAGACCAACAUGUCGUCAUGAGAAUACCUUUUGGAUCUGUGGGUGGAAAGCGGAGAUAGUCGCAAGCUGCACCUUGACAGAAGACUGGGCCAGCCUCUGGUUCUUAAGAUGGAGCAGGUAAUCUAAGAUAGAUUGUAAGGAGGAGCGCAUUGGAGAAUGCUACACUCGGACGCCCAGUGGGAGAACCUCAUCCACUUGGCCAGGUAGGUCACUCUAGUGGAAGGCUUCCUGCUAUUCAGGAGGAUUUGCUGGACCUCGUUAGAGCAGGCCUGCUCCUCUGGGUUCAACCACAUGGCGUGGACGCUGUGACGUGGAGGGGGGCAAAAUUGGGGUGUCAGAAAUGCCUGCGAUCCUGUGAGAGCAGAUGGGAAGGCUCCAGGGAGCGGACACCAUCAUGUCCAUCAGCAUGCCGAUCCAAUGGUGGUGAGGCCACACUGGGGCGAUCAUGACUACUUGGGCCUUGUCUCUCUUGAUCUUUGACAGGACUCUGCUGAUGAGCGGGAUUGGUGGAAACGCGUACAUCAGUCCCCCCGCCCAUGACAGAUGGAAGGUGUUGGAGAGGGAGUCCUUGCCCAGACCCUAUAGGGAACAGAAGUGAUGGCAUUUCCUGUUCUGACUGGUGGCAAGCAGAUCCACCUGGGGAGUUCCCCACCUCUGGAAGAGUUUCUGGGCUACAUCCGGAUGGAGCAACCACUUGUGGUGAGAGAAAAAGGAUCUGCUGAAGUGAUCUGCCAGCGUAUUCCUGACACCGGGGAGGUGAUAGGCCUACAAGUGGAUUACAUGCUUGAUUCAGAAAUCCCACAAUCAGAGAGCCUCUUGAUAGAGAGCUGACGAGUGCACUCACUCUUGCCUGUUGAUGUUGAAUGUCGAGGUCAUAUUGUCUGUCAACACACUCACCCCCUUGCCCGCCAAGUGUGGUACAAAGACUCCACAGGCCAACCUAACCGCUCUGAGCUCGAUGAUGUAUAUAAACAUCAUCAUCUCCUCUGGGGACUACACGCCCUGGGUCUGAAGGUUGCCAAGAUGCGCUCCCCAGCCUAGGUCUGAGGCGUCCUAUAUCAGCUUGAUACAGUGACAAGGGCUGUCGAAUGGAACUCCUUCCAGGACCGCCCUGGAGUCCGUCCACCAUUGCAGCAAGCAGGCCCAGGAUCGGCCUGGGUUGGGACCUGGAUUGACCUUUGACCAGCCAGUCAGUCAUCGAGGUACGAGUAGAUCUAUAUACUCCAAUGCCUGAGGUAAGCUGCUACCACUGACAUGCACUUGGUAAACACCCUUGGUGCUGUUGCUAGGCCGAAAGGGAGGACCGCAAACUGGUAGUGGUCCGAUCCCACCAUGAAGCGUAGAAAGCACCUGUGUCCUUGGAAUAUCGCUAUAUGGAAGUACUUCAAGUCGAGGGUGGCAUACCAGUCUCCUGGAUGGAGGAGGCCAGGGAGACCAUGCGGAACCUCAACUUCUUUAGGUAUUUGUUGAGGUCUUGUAGGUCCAGGAUGGGGGGUAGAUCACCCUUGGCUUUUGGGAUUAAGAAGUGCCGGGAAUAGAACCCCUUGUUCCUGUACUCACAGGGAACCUCUUCCACCGCACCCAGCUGCAGCAACCCUUCUACCUCCUGCGUGAGGAGACUCUCGUGAAAGGGAUCCCUGAAGAGGGACGGUGAAGGGGGGUGGAGACAGUAACUGUAGGAUAUAACCCUGCGGCACUGUACUGAGGACCCAGCGGUCCGAGAUUAUGGUGGUCCAUGCCAGGAGGAAAAGAGAAAUUCGGGUGGAGAAAGGCAGGAAAGAUAGAUCCGGGGUAUAGUCUGGCAGGUUGCCGUUGGGUUCACCCUAAAAAUACCCACUUGCUCCCCUGCUUGGACGGAGGGAGGGGAUGGGUGCCUCAGGCGGCAUUUGUAGCCCCUGCUCUUUUUGUGGGGUGGCUCCUGCCGGGAUUGGCUGUGGUUUGAACCGCUUACAGACUUAAACAGGGGCGUACAGCCCUAGAGUUUUCAGGGUAGUGAGGGAGUCCUUGAGCCCAUACAGCUUACUAUCUGUCUGUUCUGCAAACAGGGCCUGCCGAAGGGAACGUCCAGCACUGACGGCUAAGCCUCUGUCGACAGACCCUAGAGGAGCAGCCAGGAUGAUUGCUGCAUGGAGAUGGCCGAGGCCAUGGUGCAAGCCACAGUCAGCCGCAUCUGAAGCUGUCUGGAGGGCCAACCUGGCCACAGUGGUGCCCUCUUCGAGUACUGUCCAGAAUUCCUUCUUGGACCCUUCGGGAAGCGAAGCCUUGAACUUGGUCAUUGCCUGCCACAUGUUGUAAUCGGAGCAGCCAAGGAGGGCUUGGUGGUUGGCCAUUCUCAACUGAAGGCUGGAAGAUGAAUAAAUCUUUCACCCAAACA